AGAAUGUUCCUUGCUGCAGAUGCAUUGGCCCCAUCUGCAGGUCCUCUUUGACACCUACCUUACUCUCUCCCUCCACUCACACUCUGAGAACUGUGCUCAGGGGCAGCGCUACAACUUCCACAUUGGUCUUUACAGGGCUUGAGUGAUUAUUUCAAGAACAGAACGCUGUGUGGAAACCUUUACCAUAUUUCGUUGUAUCUAAGACACAUUUUUUUUUUUUGAAAUUUAACAUCUCUAAGGUUGGGUUAUGUUUCUUCAUCAUUGUCAGGUUGGAGCUUAAUCAGCAGCACUUUUUUUUAAUGUCACACACAGUAAUGGUGAUGCAUCUCACAAUUGAGAUCAUCUUAGACAUGAUGGAAUAUGGAAUCGUGUGCCUGUUACAAGCCAGGCUCUUGUCUGGGUUCUAGAGACGGUGGAAACCAAGACAGCACCAUCCUCUAGUGGUGUUCACAUCCCACCACAGUGGAGUCAGGACUUUGAAGUCCUCCAUUGGAUCUUCUCGGAAGAUGAGGGAAAUGAGAGAGUGUGGAGAGAGAUUUUGUAAGUCCGGUCUGGAAGUGGUCAUUGUUCAGAAUCCAGCCACGUGGGUACAUGGAACUGUAAGGCUAUUUCAACAUGGGAAACUGAAAUCGGGCAUAUCCCUGCGGAAGAAGCUGUCUCUUAGCGAAGAAUAAAACUGUGGACUGACCCCCACCCAUUUGCGAAGAAAGUACUGGGUCUUCAGCUUUCAUUGUUCAGCCGGUGGUCUUUGUGGACAACACCAGGGGCCCCUCCUGCUGAAGACUGUCUGGACUUCCUGAUUUUCACUCCUGUAUAAACCCCCUCCCCCAUUACUACCUUUGUCUCCUUGGGGAAAAAAAAUGUUUUUCACUUAAGCAAAAUAAUAACUACCCAGUAUUUGUUUCUGGAGUGAAAUUGUAAACUUCAUUGUACAUUCUUCCUGGCUUUGAUGCUUAUCGUGAAGAGUUCAGUGAAAAUAAAUUGUUUUUAUGAAAGCAGAG